GAGUUUGAUCCUGGCUCAGGAUCCAAUCUAGCGGCAGGCUUAACACAUGCAAGUCGAGGGGUAACGGGGAAGCUUGCUUCCGCCGACGACCGGCGCACGGGUGCGUAACGCGUAUACAAUCUACCUUAUACUGGGGUAUAGCCUUUAGAAAUGAAGAUUAACCCCCCAUAGUCUCUUAGAGUGGCAUCACUUCUAGAGUAAAGGUUACGGUAUAAGAUGAGUAUGCGUUCUAUUAGUUUGUUGGUGUGGUAACGGCACACCAAGACUACGAUAGAUAGGGGCCCUGAGAGGGGGAUCCCCCACACUGGUACUGAGACACGGACCAGACUCCUACGGGAGGCAGCAGUGAGGAAUAUUGGACAAUGGAGGCAACUCUGAUCCAGCCAUGCCGCGUGCAGGAAGACUGCCCUAUGGGUUGUAAACUGCUUUUAUACAGGAAGAAACACCUCUACGUGUAGAGGCUUGACGGUACUGUAAGAAUAAGGAUCGGCUAACUCCGUGCCAGCAGCCGCGGUAAUACGGAGGAUCCAAGCGUUAUCCGGAAUCAUUGGGUUUAAAGGGUCCGUAGGUGGAUAAUUAAGUCAGAGGUGAAAUCUUGCAGCUCAACUGUAAAAUUGCCUUUGAAACUGGUUAUCUUGAGUUAUUAUGAAGUAGUUAGAAUAUGUAGUGUAGCGGUGAAAUGCAUAGAUAUUACAUAGAAUACCAAUUGCGAAGGCAGAUUACUAAUAAUCAACUGACACUGAUGGACGAAAGCGUGGGUAGCGAACAGGAUUAGAUACCCUGGUAGUCCACGCCGUAAACGAUGGUUACUAGCUGUUUGGACUUCGGUCUGAGUGGCUAAGCGAAAGUGAUAAGUAACCCACCUGGGGAGUACGUUCGCAAGAAUGAAACUCAGAGGAAUUGACGGGGGCCCGCACAAGCGGUGGAGCAUGUGGUUUAAUUCGAUGAUACGCGAGGAACCUUACCAGGGCUUAAAUGUAAGUUGCAUUAGUUAGAGAUAGCUAUUUCUUCGGACCACUUACAAGGUGCUGCAUGGUUGUCGUCAGCUCGUGCCGUGAGGUGUCAGGUUAAGUCCUAUAACGAGCGCAACCCCUGUUGUUAGUUGCCAGCGAGUCAUGUCGGGAACUCUAGCAAGACUGCCAGUGCAAACUGUGAGGAAGGUGGGGAUGACGUCAAAUCAUCACGGCCCUUACGUCCUGGGCUACACACGUGCUACAAUGGUAUGGACAAUGAGCAGCCACUAUGCGAAUAGGAGCGAAUCUAUAAACCAUAUCACAGUUCGGAUCGGAGUCUGCAACUCGACUCCGUGAAGCUGGAAUCGCUAGUAAUCGGAUAUCAGCCAUGAUCCGGUGAAUACGUUCCCGGGCCUUGUACACACCGCCCGUCAAGCCAUGGAAGCUGGGAGUGCCUGAAGUCGGUCACCGCAAGGAGCCGCCUAGGGUAAAACUGGUAACUAGGGCUACGUUAAAGGAAGGUAACC
rnacentral:rRNA from 1 species